UACGUAGGGUCCGAGCGUUGUCCGGAAUUAUUGGGCGUAAAGGGCUCGUAGGCGGUCUGUCGCGUCGGGAGUGAAAACUUACAGCUUAACUGUGAGCGUGCUUCCGAUACGGGCAGACUGGAGGUAUGCAGGGGAGAACGGAAUUCCUGGUGUAGCGGUGAAAUGCGCAGAUAUCAGGAGGAACACCGGUGGCGAAGGCGGUUCUCUGGGCAUGUCCUGACGCUGAGGAGCGAAAGUGUGGGGAGCGAACAGG
rnacentral:rRNA from 1 species